UUUGUUACGCUUUUUCUGAAUUGAAAAGACCCCUUUUUUAAUACAUCUGGACAUCAAGGAUCAAUCAUAUGAGAAGGACGUAGCUCUGAAACCUCAGGAACGCGUGGAGAAGCGUCAGAAUCCUCUAGCCAAGAAAAAACGGGAAGCACUUACCAAUGGGCUGUCGUAUCUUCCGAAAAAGAACAGACUUCACCACCACCAGUACAGCUCUGACCGAGAAAAUGAUCGUAAUCUUUGUCAGCACCUUGGGAAAAGGAAGAAAAUACCGAAGGGCCUCAGACAGGGUAGGAUACUGUGAGACUCCCACUUAAAUAACCAGACAGCUGGUUAGAAACAACCAAAUGAGGUGAUUUUCUCCUACUGCAUAUCGCAAAAUUCUGAACCGUGUGCAGCAUCUUAUGGAAACACAAAAAGGUUCAGCUACCUGCGUGACAAAUUCAGGUCCAUCUGUG
rnacentral:lncRNA from 1 species